rnacentral:misc_RNA from 1 species
GCAAACUUGGUCAUUUAGAGGAAGUAAAAGUCGUAACAAGGUUUCCGUAGGUGAACCUGCGGAAGGAUCAUUAAUGAAAGUUAAAACGUUGCAUUGGGUUGUUGCUGGCCCCCCUUAUUGGGGGGCAUAUGUGCACACUUGUGUUGCGUCUUUCUUCUAUCUCACCCCUUUUAUGUGAACCUUUCGGGAGCUAGUAGGGGCAAUGUAUUAUUGAUUGCCUUGAAAGUUCUCAUAUCAUAUACACCUUUUGUAAAGUCUAUUGUAUGUCAUUUUUUUUGCAUUAAUUUGCAUGAAAUACAACUUUCAGCAACGGAUCUCUUGGCUCUCGCAUCGAUGAAGAACGCAGC